UGAAGGCUAGUAAAGUGGCGCACGGGUGAGUAACGCGUCGGGUAAUCUACCUCCGAAUUGGGGGAUAACACUGCGAAAGCGGUGCUAAUACCGAAUAACAUCCCCGAGACCCCGGUCUUGGUGAUCAAAGGUGGCCUCUACAUGUAAGCUAUCGUUUGGAGAUGAGCCCGCGUACCAUUAGCUAGUUGGUAGGGUAAUGGCCUACCAAGGCUGCGAUGGUUAGCUGGUCUGAGAGGAUGAUCAGCCACACUGGAACUGACACACGGUCCAGACUCCUACGGGAGGCAGCAGUGAGGAAUUUUGCGCAAUGGGGGGGAACCCUGACGCAGCAACGCCGCGUGAGUGAUGAAGGCCUUCGGGUCGUAAAGCUCUGUCAAGUGGGAAGAACCUGCCUUGUGAUAAUACCACGAGGCACUGACGGUACCACUGAAGGAAGCACCGGCUAACUCCGUGCCAGCAGCCGCGGUAA
rnacentral:rRNA from 1 species